rnacentral:lncRNA from 10 species
AGCAGUUUGCCACGUUUAGGAGCUGGAGGAUUCACUUGCCAUUCCACAGAGUUCUUCUUCUUUUUUUUUUUUUUUAGACAAGGUCUUGCCCUGUAGCCCAGGGUAGAUUGAAGAGGGGCGAUUUUAGCUCCCUGCAACCUCUGCCUCCUGGGCUCAAGUGAUCCUCCCACCUCAGCCUCCCAAGUAGAGUAGCUGAGUAGUUGGGACUACAAACACACGCAGCCACACCCAGCUAAUUUUUGUAUUUUUUGUAUGGAUGGGAUUUCACAAUGUUGUGCAGGCUGGUCUCAAACUCCUGGACUCAAGCAAUCUACUUGCCUCAAAAGUGCUGGGAUUACAGACAUAUGUUAGCAGAGACAUAUUUGGACCCAACCUAUAUACUUUUUCUCUAUAAAGCAUUCAAAGAACAAUGUGACGAUUACAGUUGUGUGAGACAGUCCCACUCUAUCGCCAGGGUAGAGUGCAGUGGUGCAAUCAUGGCCCUCUGCAGCCUCCAACUCCUGGGCUCAAGCUAUUGUCCUAUCACAGCCUCUCAAGUAGCUUGGACUGCAGGAAUAAAGCUGAAGACACUGA